rnacentral:rRNA from 1 species
UGGGGAAUAUUGCACAAUGGGCGAAAGCCUGAUGCAGCGACGCCGCGUGAGGGAUGACGGCCUUCGGGUUGUAAACCUCUUUCAGUAGGGACGAAGCGCAAGUUACGGUACCUGCAGAAGAAGCACCGGCUAACUACGUGCCAGCAGCCGCGGUAAUACGUAGGGUGCGAGCGUUGUCCGGAAUUACUGGGCGUAAAGAGCUCGUAGGCGGUUUGUCACGUCGUCUGUGAAAUCCUAGGGCUUAACCCUGGACGUGCAGGCGAUACGGGCUGACUUGAGUACUACAGGGGAGACUGGAAUUUCUGGUGUAGCGGUGGAAUGCACAGAUAUCAGGAAGAACACCGAUGGCGAAGGCAGGUCUCUGGGUAGUAACUGACGCUGAGGAGCGAAAGCAUGGGUAGCGAACAGG